CACUCCUACGGGAGGCAGCAGUGGGGAAUUUUGGACAAUGGGCGAAAGCCUGAUCCAGCAAUGCCGCGUGUGUGAAGAAGGCCUUCGGGUUGUAAAGCACUUUUGUCCGGAAAGAAAUCCUUGGCUCUAAUACAGUCGGGGGAUGACGGUACCGGAAGAAUAAGCACCGGCUAACUACGUGCCAGCAGCCGCGGUAAUACGUAGGGUGCGAGCGUUAAUCGGAAUUACUGGGCGUAAAGCGUGCGCAGGCGGUUUGCUAAGACCGAUGUGAAAUCCCCGGGCUCAACCUGGGAACUGCAUUGGGGACUGGCAGGCUAGAGUAUGGCAGAGGGGGGUAGAAUUCCACGUGUAGCAGUGAAAUGCGUAGAGAUGUGGAGGAAUACCGAUGGCGAAGGCAGCCCCCUGGGCCAAUACUGACGCUCAUGCACGAAAGCGUGGGGAGCAAACAGGAUUAGAUACCCGAGUAGGCCCAUGA
rnacentral:rRNA from 1 species